rnacentral:rRNA from 1 species
AGUUGGUCUCGGUGGCUUUGACUGUUCUCUCUAUGUAUCCUUUGGAAAUGGAAGGCAACUCGAACCCAAAGACGACCAACAAGCCCAAGUAUUCCAAGUUUACGCAGCAGGAGCUUCCAGCAUGCAAGCCACUACUCACACCUGAAAUCGUCAUUGCCGCCUUUGCGCUCAUUGGCGCCCUGUUUGUUCCCAUCGGGCUUGCGUCGCUGCAUGCAUCACGACAGGUUGUCGAACUGGUGCAUAGAUAUGAUGCAAGUUGUGUGCCCGUGGAUGACAAGGUUGGGUUCAUCCAGAACUCCAGGACUGACAAAACAUGCACAAUAACGAUGACUGUGCCAAAAUACAUGAAGAGCCCAAUCCAUGUCCAUUACCUGAUCGACGGCUUCUAUCAAAACCAUCGAAGGUAUGUGAGAAGUCGAAGUGACAAACAACUGCGUUAUAAGAGUGCUGCACAUUUGACAUCGGAUUGUGUGCCUGAAGGUGAUACCGCUGAUCAUGCUCCAAUUGUUCCAUGUGGCCUUGUUGCUUGGAGUUUGUUCAACGACACAUAUACAGUUCGGGUCAAUGGGGUGGUUACUCAAGUGAAUAAAAAGGACAUAGCUUGGAAGAGUGACAAGAACAAUAAAUUCGGCAAGAAUAUCUAUCCCAGUAACUUCCAGAAGGGAAGGCUUAUAGGUGGCGCUACACUAAAUGAGAGCAUACCAUUAAGUGAGCAAGAAGAUCUCAUUGUCUGGAUGAGAACUGCUGCCCUCCCAACUUUCAGGAAGCUGUAUGGCAGAAUUGAGAAAGAUAUCAAUGCAAAUGAUAAUGUAACAGUGGUUAUACAGAACAACUAUAACACAUAUAGUUUUGGAGGAUCAAAAGCGUUGGUCCUUUCUACUGCAUCUUGGAUUGGAGGAAAAAACAACUUCAUUGGUUUUGCAUAUCUGACUAUUGGUGGUUUGUGCCUUUCCCUUGCUAUGGGCUUCUUAGUUCUCUACAUAGUUAAACGAAGGAACUUUGCAGACCCCUCGAACCUCUCAUGGAAUAGAUGAAUAGAGUUAACUAUUAGACUGGAGUAUCCUGUCUGAGAAUAAAAGAUCAUUCAAUGGGUAAAUUCUUCCAGUUGGAUCUAUGGGUGUCUGUUCUUAUUCCCAUUCACUGGGCUUGUCAUGGCUCAUAGGCAUGAGGAUCUUGUUGACUUUGGAGCCGUAAUAGCAUCAUACAUACAUGAACAGAAUGUAUUGUGAUCGGUUGACUUAAAUCUUAUCUGACCUUAUCUGACCAUACCGAGAGUCGUUUCUGAAUGCUUAUUAUGAAUUAUGAACCAACUAAUUGUGCUUAUGGGAGGAGAUAC